rnacentral:lncRNA from 1 species
GUCCGCGAUGUCGUGAGGUCUGUGAUCGAUUCCGAUUUCGAGGAAUCGCGAUUUCGCAAGGUCCCGCGAUAUAGUCGAAAUCGCGGACAUUCGAUUCGCAGCAAGCCGGUGAGGAGUGUCGUUAUGUUUCAUCGCGAUGUUGGGUUCUGUUUCAUCACGGUUAUGUUUUAUCACGAUGGGUUCCAUAACUCGCAAUGUGUUCUGUUUCACAGCAGAACCACCUUCCACUCGUGAUGGGUUCACGAUGGAUUCCGACAUCGCAGAUGGGUUCAACGGACGGUCACGACGCAUCUAGGCAACGGACGGUUAGAUAUGGUGACCGUCGUAAGUGCCUUACCGAACACGUACCGUUCCGGAAGUUUUCCCUAUAUA